AGAUUGAACGCUGGCGGCAUGCCUUACACAUGCAAGUCGAACGGCAGCACGGGAGCAAUCCUGGUGGCGAGUGGCGAACGGGUGAGUAAUAUAUCGGAACGUGCCCAGUCGUGGGGGAUAACGCAGCGAAAGCUGUGCUAAUACCGCAUACGAUCUAUGGAUGAAAGCGGGGGGUCGCAAGACCUCGCGCGAUUGGAGCGGCCGAUAUACAGAUUAGCUUAGGUUGGUAGGGGUAAAAGCCUACCGAAGGCGACGAUCUGUAGCUGGUCUGAGAGGACGACCAGCCACACUGGAACUGAGACACGGUCCAGACUCCGUACGGGAGGCAGCAGGUAGGGUAAUUUUAGGGACAAGUGGGGACG
rnacentral:rRNA from 1 species